CAGCAUAUGGAAGUUCCCAGGCUAGGGGUCCAAUCGGAGCUGCAGCUGCCAGCCUACACCACAGCCACAGCCACGCGGGAUCCAAGCCACGUCCGCGACCUACACCGCAGCUCACGGCAACACCAGAUCCCUCACCCACUGAGCGAGGCCACUGCCUACCAUCUCUUUCAUCUGUUAUUAUCUACCACCUGUCCACCUAUCAUCUAUCUCUGUAUCUCUUUAUCGAAUGAUCUUCUAUGUACCCAUCGUCUAUUAUUUAUCUAUAACCUGUCUGUCUGUCUGUCGGGUUCUUAACCCGCUGAGCCACCACAGGAACUCCAAAAAUCUACCAUUUAAAAAUCCAUCUUGCAGGUGGCCUCAGAUUGUAAGAAGCGUCUGCUCCCAGCACUGCAAGGGGAGAGGAAAGCGAGCUGUCUUAACUCCUCACAGGGGGCCCUCGUGCAGAAACCCAGGCUAAGGUGCUGUUCUGCACGGGCGCACAUGGGUUCCACAGCUGCCCCUCCAGGGCCUGCCCUUGCAUCGCCUUGUAAGGAUGGCAUCUCCUUAUUCUUUUCCUUUGUGCUCCAGUUUCUCCUUCACGCUGGCAAAUGCACAGACCCACCAUGACUUGCAGAAUUUCCAAAGCACAGAGCUCCCGCUCUGCCCAGCACGUCGGCUCGGGCAUCAAUGACUAAUGUGUGCUGCAGCCCAGCCGGGGGCGGGGGCGGGCGGGCGGGCGCUCCGAGGGCUUGGCGGCCGUGGCUCUGCCCUUGGCCAGGGCCUCCCCGCUCCCCGCCACGUCGGGCGCUUUAAAGUCAGAAGCACUCUCUCCUGGGCAGGAAACUAAAUUAAUUUCCAAGGGACCUGCAGAGAUCAGGGUGAAACUGCUCUGAAAUGAGUAGGAAUUGCAAAUGAACCGCCGAGGGUGAGAACGGGGAUGUGACCGCAGAGGGAGAGACAGAGACAGACAGACAGAGACAGAGAGACAGAGACCGAAAGAGGGAGACACAGAGAGAGAGAGAGAAACACCAAGAGUAGAGAGAGAGAGAGAGACAAAGAGAGACAGUGACAAAAAGACACAGAGACAGAGAGACACAGAGAGAGAGAAAGAAAGAGAGAGGAAGAGAGAGAGUGGCGGGAGGGGAGAGAGCCUGCAUCAAGGAGUUUUUUUUUUUUUUUUUUUUUUUUUUUAAGAGUCAUUCUUGGGCGUUCCCAUUGUGGCUCAGCAGGUUAUGAACCCAACUAGUACCCAUGAGGAUGCAGGCUCGAUCCCUGGCCUUGCUCAGGGGGUUAAGGACACGGCGUGGCCGCGAGCUGUGCUGUAGGUUGGAGUCACGGCUCAGAUCCCAUGUUGCUGUGGCUGUGGUGUCAGCCGGCACCUGCAGCUCCGAUUCGACCCCUUGCCUGGGGUCUGCCCAUGAGCAGCAGAUGCGGCCCUGAAAAGACCAAAAUAAGUACAUCAGUAAAAUAGGGCACAAAUCAACAUCUCUGCAGAGAGAAAAGCAGACUCACAGACAGAGAGCCCAGAUCUGCGGCUCUCCAGGGAGGCGCCGAUGGGGAGUCUGGGGUCAGCAGAUGCUACUUGUAUUCAGGAAGGACAUAUGACAAGGCCACUGAGGUUCACGGUGGAACGUGUGUGGCGUUAAGGCCGGUGCACCCCAGGCUGGGGGGGCUGGUCAGUGUGUAGUCAGAAUCGAGGGUGAAGACAGACAUAGAGCAGGCAGGUAUCUGCAACGCAGAACCCCCAGCCCUUUGGGGAGACCUGUUCUCCCGGGGCGGCGGGGGGGGGCACCAUUGCAACUCCCCAUCUUCUCCAGGUCACCACGUGACCUGGUACAGCUGGUCGCCCGUCCACCACGAGUGUGUCACAGACGGCGACAAGCGCUCAGGGUCAAGUGCCCUGACCCCCGAGUGAUACUGAAUGGCUGCCCGGGACUGCUCCCGCCUCACUUCCGAGGUCCGCGUGGGUCUCGUGAGUGAUGCUGCAACCGAGCAGGACCGCCAGCUCCUUUCCGGGACGGGAGCCCGCACGGCGCCACGUCCCCCGCCUGCCUGCCGUCUGUAGACAGGCUUUCGCCUCCCAGGCUGUCCCCGAGCUCCGAGGGGCAGAUUGAAUCAGAAACGUGAGGAAGUGCAGAAGCGAAGGAAAGCCGUCAAGCCAGCCCCAGAGCCACCGUCUUGCCUUCGACAAAGUCGAGGACCUUCUGUUCUUCCUCGAGGGUGAGCGACGGAGGUCCGAGCCGUGGCCUGGAGGUGUUUUGCGGACACUGAAACCCCCGCCAGGCUGGAAGACGUUACCUGCGUGCUGCCCACCUGCACGGAGACCCCGGACCCACUGGAACCAGGAGGUGGGUGACGCUGACUCCACCCCACCCGCCCAUCAGAAGAAAGUCCAUGAGCUGAUCACCUGUAUUUACUUAUUUAUCUAUUUUUAUUGUUUUUGCUUUUUAGGGCUGCACCUGCGGCAUAUGGAGGUUUCCAGGCUAGGGGGCUAAUCAGAGCUGUAGCCACCAGCCUACGCCACAGCCACAGCAAUGCAGGAUCCGAGCCGUGUCUGCGACCUACAGCACAGCUCACGGCAACACCAGAUCCCGGACCCACUGAGCGAGGCCAGGGAUCGAACCCGCAUCUUCAUCGAUACUAGUCAGAUUCAUUUCACUCCCUGCUCUGUCUUUCAAAAACCUUUUCCUGAAAGAAUGUAUGUGUGUGUGUAUAUAUGUAUGUACGUAUGACUGGGUCACUUUGCUGUACAGCAGAAAUUGACAGAACACUGUAAACCAACUGUAAAAAAAUUGAAACCUAAAAAAAGAAAAUAUAAAAUAGUUCAAUAAAUAAAAACCUUUCCCUGAAAGCCAUGGGGAAGUUCGGGUCUUUUGAGCACGAGCUGCCCGUUCUUGCUCGGCACCUGCAAUAAACCCUGCCCUCUCCUCCCGGGGUCAGCAGACAGGCUUUGCUGCAUGCAGGUGAGGGGACCCGGGCUUCGUGCGGUCCCAAUGUGUCUGAGCAGCUCAUGUCCCAACUGGUUACAGAAAAGAAGUAACAGGCUACACACAGGUGACACGGUGACAGCACAGCCAUGCCAGGGACGACCCUUCUGGGACGCGGCUGAGAGCGGACCAGGCCCCUCUGGGAGACGCAGAGUCUGCGACGUGGGUGGUGCAGUCCUUUGCCUGCCCCUUUCCAUCUCGUUCCAGAACGUUUUCAUUCCUUCAGAAGGAGACCCCGUUCCCAUCAGAGGUCACUCCAAGCCCCCUCCCCCAGCCCCCGGCAACCACCUGCCCACUUUCUCUCUCUGUGCCUGGUUUCUCUCCCCGAGCAUCGAGUUGACUUAGAAUCGGUAUAAAAGGGGAGGAGAGAGAAAUCAGCAGUUUGGGAGGGACAGAUACACACGAUUAUAAACAAAAUAGAUACGCCACAAGGACCCACUGCAGAGCACACGGAACUGUAUUCAAUACUUUGUAAUAAGCUACAAGGAAAAGACUCUGAAAAAGAAUACAUAUGCAUAGGGACCACGGAAGCACUAUGCUGGGCACCUGAAAUGAAUACAACAUGAUAAAUCCACUCUACUUCAAUAAGUAAAAAACACUCCCAGACUCUCCCAAAGGAAUCUCUAUUUAAAAAAUAAUCACUGAAAAAAUAAUCAUUAUAAGCCUCUCAGUAUAUGAAGCGAUUCAAAUUGCAGCCACGACACGACGUGAUGUCACAACCCCUGUAUCCGAAUGGCUAAACUGAAAAUACUGACGGAGUUCCCGUCGUGUCACAGCGGUAACCCACCCACCUAGUAUCCCUGAGGCCAUGGGUUCAAUCCCAGGCCUCGCUCAGUGGGUUCAGGAUCCUGUGUUGCCAUGAGCCGUGCUGUAGGUCGCAGAUGUGGCUCAGAUCUGGCAUUGCUGUGGCUGUGGCUGUGGCCGGCAGCUGCAGCUCCGAUUGGACCCUUAGCCUGGGAACCUCCAUAUGCCACAGGUGUGGCUGCAAAAAGAAAAAAAAAAAAAAAGAAUGCGAGUUAAAAUUCACAUGACUGUACUCCAAAAAUGCUUGAUUGUAUGUAAAAUGUUGAAAAGGCAUCUAUGUGGAGUUCCCUGGUGGCUCAGUGGGUUAAGGGUCCAGUGUUGUCAUGGCAGCAACUCUGGUGGCUGCUGAGGCCCAGGUUCAAUCCCUGGUCCAGACCCUUCAUGACUGCAGCCAAAAAAUUUUUUCUUUAAUUUUUUAAAUAAAAGAAAGUAAAAGAACUCUAUAUGUUCAAAAACUUGAAAGUGGAAUUACCCUAUGAUUUGACCAUUCCACAUCUGGGUCUUUACCCCAAAGAGGUAAAAGCAGGGAUGUGAACAGGUAUUUGCACCCUUGUGUUCACAGCAGCACUGUUCACCGUGGCCAAGAGGUGGAAGCAAACCUUACAUGUCCUUCGAUGGAUGGAUGGAUGGAUGAACAGAACGGGAUCCAUCCACGGAAUGGAAUACUAUGCAAGCAUGAAAAGGAAUGCGGCUACAACGUGGAUGGACCUUGGGGACACAGAAAUAAAGACGCUCAGAGAAAGAAAGUCACAGACAGACACAUGCUGCAGGGCUCCACUCUCAGGAGGUGCCUAGAGGAGUCAGAAUCACACAGACAGAAAGGAGAUGGCAGGGCGGGAGCUGGGGACUCAGGGUUUCAUGGGAAAAGCGUCUCCGGUUGGGAAGACGAAAUGGCUCCGGAGGUGAUGGUGGGGGUGGCUGCACAACAGGGUAACGGUAUUAAACACCACUGCACGAUGCCCUUUAAAUGGUCAAGAUGGGAUAGUC
rnacentral:lncRNA from 1 species